UACGAAGGGUGCAAACGUUGCUCGGAAUCAUUGGGCGUAAAGCGCACGUAGGCGGCUUCGCAAGUCGGAUGUGAAAUCCCUCGGCUCAACCGAGGACGUGCAUCCGAAACUGCGGAGCUUGAGUACUGAAGAGGAUCGCGGAAUUCCCGGUGUAGAGGUGAAAUGCGCAGAUAUCGGGAAGAACACCUGUGGCGAAGGCGGCUCUCUGGGACGGUACUGACGCUGAGACGCGAAAGCGUGGGAGCGAACGAGG
rnacentral:rRNA from 1 species